rnacentral:rRNA from 1 species
AUUGAACGCUGGCGGCAUGCCUUACACAUGCAAGUCGAACGGCAGCACGGGAGCAAUCCUGGUGGCGAGUGGCGAACGGGUGAGUAAUAUAUCGGAACGUGCCCAGUAGUGGGGGAUAACUGCUCGAAAGAGCAGCUAAUACCGCAUACGACCUGAGGGUGAAAGGGGGGGAUCGCAAGACCUCUCGCUAUUGGAGCGGCCGGUAUCAGAUUAGCUAGUGGGUGGGGUAAAGGCCUACCAAGGCAACGAUCUGUAGUUGGUGUGAGAGGACGACCAGCCACACUGGGACUGAGACACGGCCCAGACUCCUACGGGAGGCAGCAGUGGGGAAUUUUGGACAAUGGGCGCAAGCCCGAUCCAGCAAUGCCGCGUGCAGGAAGAAGGCCUUCGGGUUGUAAACUGCUUUUGUCAGGGAAGAAAUCCUCUAGGUUAAUACCCUUGGGGGGAUGACGGUACCUGAAGAAUAAGCACCGGCUAACUACGUGCCAGCCGCCGCAGUAAAAC